rnacentral:rRNA from 1 species
AAAGAUUAAGCCAUGCAUGUGUAUGCACAAGCCGAUAUACGGUGAAGCCGCGAAUGGCUCAUUACAACAGCCAUUGUUUACUUGAUCUUGAAAUCCUACAUGGAUAACUGUGGUAAUUCUAGAGCUAAUACACGCAUCAAAGCCCCGUGCCGGAGACGGCCGGGGCGCUUUUAUUAGAACAAAGCCAAUCGGGCUCCGGCCCGACAAAUUGGUGAAUCUGAAUAACCGAGCCGAUCGCGCGGUCUCGAACCGGCGACGAAUCAUUCAAGUGUCUGCCUUAUCAACUUUCGACGGUAGUUUAUGCGCCUACCGUGGUUGUAACGGGUAACGGAGAAUAAGGGUUCGACUCCGGAGAGGGAGCCUGAGAAACGGCUACCACAUCCAAGGAAGGCAGCAGGCGCGCAAAUUACCCACUCUCGGCAAGAGGAGGUAGUGACGAAAAAUAACGAGACGGUUCUCUUUGAGGCCCGUUAUCGGAAUGGGUACAAUAUAAAUCCUUUAACGAGGAUCAACGAGAGGGCAAGUCUGGUGCCAGCAGCCGCGGUAAUUCCAGCUCUCGAAGUGUAUAUCAUUGCUGUUGCGGUUAAAAAGCUCGUAGUUGGAUCUGCGCCCUAGGAACUGGUCCACCCAACGGGUCUGGUACUGGUCUCCAGGGCUGAAUUGGCUGGUCUCCCUUGAUGCCCUUCAUCGGGUGUUUUGGGUGGCUGGCGCGUUUACUUUGAAAAAAUUAGAGUGCUCAGAACAGGCGUAUUCGCUUGAAUAGUGGUGCAUGGAAUAAUGGAAUAGGACCUCGGUUCUAUUUCGUUGGUUUUCGGAAUACGAGGUAAUGAUUAAGAGGGACAGACGGGGGCAUUCGUAUUGCGGCGCUAGAGGUGAAAUUCUUGGACCGCCGCAAGACGGACAACUGCGAAAGCAUUUGCCAAGAAUGUUUUCAUUAAUCAAGAACGAAAGUUAGAGGUUCGAAGGCGAUCAGAUACCGCCCUAGUUCUAACCGUAAACGAUGCGAACCAGCGAUCCGCCGGCGUUAAUCACGACCCGGCGGGCAGCUUCCCGGAAACGAAAGUCUUUCCGUUCCGGGGGAAGUAUGGUUGCAAAGCUGAAACUUAAAGGAAUUGACGGAAGGGCACCACCAGGAGUGGAGCCUGCGGCUUAAUUUGACUCAACACGGGGAAACUCACCCGGCCAGGACACUGUAAGGAUUGACAGAUUGAGAGCUCUUUCUUGAUUCAGUGGGUGGUGGUGCAUGGCCGUUCUUAGUUGGUGGAGCGAUUUGUCUGGUUAAUUCCGAUAACGAACGAGACUCUGGCCUGCUAAAUAGCGAGCGGAUCCUCGGCGUCCGCGGAGCUUCUUAGAGGGACAAGCGGUGUUCAGCCGCAUGAAAAAGAGCAAUAACAGGUCUGUGAUGCCCUUAGAUGUCCGGGGCUGCACGCGCGCUACACUGAAGGAGUCAACGCGCUUUAAAACCUGGCCCGAAAGGGCCGGGUAACCGGAUGAAAAUCUUUCGUGCUUGGGAUAGGGACUUGCAAUUAUUUCCCUUGAACGAGGAAUUCCUAGUAAGUGCGGGUCAUCAGCUCGCGCUGAUUACGUCCCUGCCCUUUGUA